rnacentral:lncRNA from 1 species
ACCUGUGUUGUCAUUGGUCCACAUACAUCUGUAUGUACUAGGGCUAACAACUCAUUUGCCCUCUCUUCAUAUCCAGAAAAUGAAGUCUUGGUCAUCUUACCUAUGAGACAAGAUUUAUAAGUUCUCAAUGAUUCAUAAUCAUAUAGGUCAAAGAAUUCUUAUUUGUAUAACUUGUUAUCUUUGACUCACUAAUAUGACUAAGGCGACAAUGUUAGAGAUAUGUGACAUUCACAUC